rnacentral:rRNA from 1 species
GAUGAACGCUAGCGGCAGGCCUAAUACAUGCAAGUCGGACGGGAUCCAUCGGAGAGCUUGCUCGAAGAUGGUGAGAGUGGCGCACGGGUGCGUAGCGCGUGAGCAACCUACCUCUAUCAGGGGGAUAGCCUCUCGAAAGAGAGAUUAACACCGCAUAACAUAUCUGACCGGCAUCGGUUGGAUAUUAAAUAUUUAUAGGAUAGAGAUGGGCUCGCGUGACAUUAGCUAGUUGGUAGGGUAACGGCUUACCAAGGCGACGAUGUCUAGGGGCUCUGAGAGGAGAAUCCCCCACACUGGUACUGAGACACGGACCAGACUCCUACGGGAGGCAGCAGUAAGGAAUAUUGGUCAAUGGGCGGAAGCCUGAACCAGCCAUGCCGCGUGCAGGAUGACUGCCCUAUGGGUUGUAAACUGCUUUUGUCCAGGAAUAAACCUAGAUACGUGUAUCUAGCUGAAUGUACUGGAAGAAUAAGGAUCGGCUAACUCCGUGCCAGCAGCCGCCGUAAAAC